rnacentral:rRNA from 1 species
UGGGUAACCUGCCCCGAUGACCGGGACAACCCGAGGAAACUCGGGCUAAUACCGGAUGUGAUGUCCACACAUAAGUGUGUCCAUCAAAGGAAGCUUCGGCCUCCACAUUGGGAUGGGCCCGCGGCCCAUUAGCUAGUUGGUGGGGUAACGGCCUACCAAGGCAACGAUGGGUAGCUGGUCUGAGAGGACGAUCAGCCACACUGGGACUGAGACACGGCCCAGACUCCGUACGGGAGGNAG